rnacentral:rRNA from 1 species
AUUGAACGCUGGCGGCAUGCCUUACACAUGCAAGUCGAACGGUAACAGGUCUUCGGAUGCUGACGAGUGGCGAACGGGUGAGUAAUACAUCGGAACGUGCCCGAUCGUGGGGGAUAACGAAGCGAAAGCUUUGCUAAUACCGCAUACGAUCUACGGAUGAAAGCAGGGGACCGCAAGGCCUUGCGCGAACGGUGCGGCCGAUGGCAGAUUAGGUAGUUGGUGGGAUAAAAGCUUACCAAGCCGACGAUCUGUAGCUGGUCUGAGAGGACGACCAGCCACACUGGGACUGAGACACGGCCCAGACUCCUACGGGAGGCAGCAGUGGGGAAUUUUGGACAAUGGGCGAAAGCCUGAUCCAGUCAUGCCGCGUGCAGGAUGAAGGCCUUCGGGUUGUAAACUGCUUUUGUACGGAACGAAAAGACUCUGGUUAAUACCUGGGGUCCAUGACGGUACCGUAAGAAUAAGCACCGGCUAACUACGUG